rnacentral:tRNA from 1 species
CGGGAAGUAGCUCAGUUUGGUGGAGCACUUGCAUGGGGUGCAAGGGGUCGCAGGUUCAAAUCCUGUCUUUCCGACCA